rnacentral:rRNA from 1 species
AGCGAACGCUGGCGGCAGGCUUAACACAUGCAAGUCGAGCGGGCACUUUCUGGUGUCAGCGGCUGACGGGUGAGUAACGCGUGGGAACGUGCCCUCUGGUUCGGAAUAACUCAUGGAAACUUGAGCUAAUACCGGAUACGCCCUUUUGGGGAAAGGCUUGCUGCCGGAGGAUCGGCCCGCGUCUGAUUAGCUAGGUGGUGAGGUAACGGCUCACCAAGGCGACGAUCAGUAGCUGGGCUGAGGGGAUGAUCAGCCACACUGGGACUGAGACACGGCCCAGAAUCCUACGGGAGGGAGGAGUGGGGAAUAUUGGACGAGGGGCGCAAGCCUGAUCCAGCCAUGCGGGGUGAGUGAUGAAGGGGUUAGGGUUGAAAAGCUCUUUUAUACGGGACGAUAAUGACGGUACCGGAGGAAUAAGCCCCGGCUAACUUCGUG